rnacentral:rRNA from 1 species
AUUGAACGCUGGCGGUAGGCCUAACACAUGCAAGUCGAACGGCAGCACAGAGGAGCUUGCUCCUUGGGUGGCGAGUGGCGGACGGGUGAGGAAUACAUCGGAAUCUACUCUGUCGUGGGGGAUAACGUAGGGAAACUUACGCUAAUACCGCAUACGACCUACGGGUGAAAGCAGGGGACCUUCGGGCCUUGCGCGAUUGAAUGAGCCGAUGUCGGAUUAGCUAGUUGGCGGGGUAAAGGCCCACCAAGGCGACGAUCCGUAGCUGGUCUGAGAGGAUGAUCAGCCACACUGGAACUGAGACACGGUCCAGACUCCUACGGGAGGCAGCAGUGGGGAAUAUUGGACAAUGGGCGCAAGCCUGAUCCAGCCAUACCGCGUGGGUGAAGAAGGCCUUCGGGUUGUAAAGCCCUUUUGUUGGGAAAGAAGUCCAGCUGGCUAAUACCCGGUUGGGAUGACGGUACCCAAAGAAUAAGCACCGGCUAACCUCGUGCCAGCAGCCGCAGUAA